AUUAUUAGGAAUAAUUCAUUGUUAGUAAAUAUUAAAUACGAAAACAAAAAAUUAUGGCGGUAUCUUAAGCUUUUCAGAGGAAUUUGCUCUUUUAUGGAUAAAACACCUAAAUCUUACUAAAAUUAGCAAGUUCAGUUUGUAUACCACUAUAAAAGUAAUAAUUAGUUAUUAUUACUUAAACUUUUAAUUUAAAAAGAAAAUUAAGUCAAGGUGCAGCAAAAAUUUUAGGAUGAAGUGAAUUACAAUGCUUUUUAGAAAAAAAAAAUUGAAAUUUAAUUUUAGGAUUUGAAAGUAAAAAUUUAAUAAAAUGAUUUUUUGAAUUAAGUUCUGAGAUAUGUAC
rnacentral:rRNA from 1 species